CACGUAAGGUGCAAGCGUUGUUCGGAAUCAUUGGGCGUAAAGGGCAUGUAGGCGGCGCAGCAAGUCUGGAGUGAAAGGCAGAAGCUCAACUUCUGGACUGCUUUGGAAACUGCUGCGCUGGAGUCGCUGAGGGGGAGCCGGAAUUCCAGGUGUAGGGGUGAAAUCUGUAGAUAUCUGGAAGAACACCAAUGGCGAAGGCAGGCUUCCAGCAGACGACUGACGCUGAGGUGCGAAGGUGCGGGUAG
rnacentral:rRNA from 1 species